UACGAAGGGGGGCUAGCGUUGUUCGGAAUUACUGGGCGUAAAGCGCACGUAGGCGGCUUUGUAAGUUAGAGGUGAAAGCCCAGGGCUCAACCCUGGAAUUGCCUUUAAGACUGCAUCGCUUGAACAUCGGAGAGGUAAGUGGAAUUCCGAGUGUAGAGGUGAAAUUCGUAGAUAUUCGGAAGAACACCAGUGGCGAAGGCGACUUACUGGACGAUUGUUGACGCUGAGGUGCGAAAGCGUGGGGAGCAAACAGG
rnacentral:rRNA from 1 species